rnacentral:rRNA from 1 species
AACGAACGCUGGCGGCAGGCCUAACACAUGCAAGUCGAGCGCCCCGCAAGGGGAGCGGCGGACGGGUGAGUAACGCGUGGGAACGUGCCCUUUGCUACGGAAUAGCCCCGGGAAACUAGGAGUAAUACCGUAUAAGCCCUACGGGGGAAAGAUUUAUCGGCAAAGGAUCGGCCCGCGUUGGAUUAGGUAGUUGGUGGGGUAAUGGCCUACCAAGCCGACGAUCCAUAGCUGGUUUGAGAGGAUGAUCAGCCACACUGGGACUGAGACACGGCCCAGACUCCUACGGGAGGCAGCAGUGGGGAAUCUUAGACAAUGGGCGCAAGCCUGAUCUAGCCAUGCCGCGUGAGCGAUGAAGGCCUUAGGGUUGUAGAGCUCUUUCGUGGGGGAAGAUAAUGACUGUACCCCAAGAAGAAGCCCCGGCUAACUCCGUGCCAGCCGCCGCGGUAAAAC